rnacentral:rRNA from 1 species
AUACGGAGGGUGCAAGCGUUAUUCGGAAUCACUGGGCGUAAAGGGCGCGUAGGCGGGUUGGCAAGUCAGAUGUGAAAUCCUACAGCUUAACUGUAGAACUGCAUUUGAAACUGCUAACCUAGAGUAUGGGAGGGGGAGAUGGAAUUAGUGGUGUAGGGGAAAAAUCCGUAGAUAUCACUAGGAAUACCGAAAGCGAAGGCGAUCUCCUGGAACAUAACUGACGCUAAGGCGUGAAAGCGUGGGGAGCAAACAGGAUUAGAUACCCCAGUAGUCC